CCCGACAUCCCAUAUACCCUCCAAGUGGCACUCAGCCACUACAUACUACAGACACGCAGAGAACCAACUCACUCCACACAUCACAGAACACCAUGAACACCAAUCUGACAUGCGUAUCCAUCAACUGCAAAGGUCUUAACAACCCAGCGAAAAGACAUAAACUAAUGAGAUGGGCAUACCGUACAAAAGCAGACAUAAUAUUACUGCAAGAAACCCAUUUCACACAGGCCAAACCCUUCCCCCUUCUCAGCAGACAAUACCGAGAGUGCCACAUGGCAAACUCCCCCACGACCAAACAAAAUGGAGUUGCUAUCCUGCUGCGAAAAACCUGUCCACUCAGCACCAAACAAAUACUGAAGGACCCACAAGGCAGAUACAUCACACUAACGGGUCAGGCAGGACACAAACAAUACGCCAUAACCUCACUCUACGCCCCAAACACUCCAGACAAAGAAUUUUGGGACACGUUCCACGCACACUUAGCCCUAACCCCUGGCCACCUCAAAAUUGUAGGCGGCGACUUCAACGCCACAAUGACAUCGGCGGUCGACAGAAUACGAAGCCAAACACGCCCAAAUCCCACACAUAAAAUAGACAGACUACUGCAGGACUUCGUACAAACACAGAGACUGGUAGACAUCUGGCGCCUGCUCCACCCGACCACCAGGGACUACACAUUCUAUUCCUACCCACACAACUCGUACUCCCGCAUCGACAUUUUUCUGAUUUCACCCCCCCUUACGCACAUGACCCAAGCAGCCGACAUAGGCAACAUCACGUGGUCAGACCACGCAGAUAUCACAAUAUCAAUCAAGGUCCCCGACAUAGCCAGGCCAUGGUCCUGGAAACUUAACUCCACACUGCUACACAACCCGAAAAUAACAGAAGCAAUCCAAACAGAACUGACAAACUACUUCACACUAAAGGCACCCUCGGCACCCUCACCAGGCGUACUGUGGGCUGCCCACAAGGCAGUCCUAAGGGGAACAAUUAUAAGCCUAGCAUCUCACCUAAAACAAACACAACUGGCUGAGUUAGCAACAGCCCUCACGACUCUCAGAUCCCUAGAAACGAGCCACAAACAAAACCCCACACAAGACAUCCUUACGGAAAUAACAGAAUGCCGAACCAAAAUUAAAAACUUCAUGGCCAAAGACACAACCAAAGCUAUGCAAUGGACAAAACAAACCUAUUAUGAAAAAUCCAACAAGGCCGACACCCUACUAGCCAUGAAGCUGCAACGCAGACUUGACCGAAAAC